rnacentral:rRNA from 1 species
AGUCACUGACAUUAGAUACCCCGGUAGUCCCAGCCGUAAACAAUGUGCGUUAGGUGUGUCGGUAACCACGUGUUACGUGAUGCGCCGAAGAGAAAUCGUGAAACGCACCACCUGGGAAGUACGGUCGCAAGGCUGAAACUUAAAGGAAUUGGCGGGGAGCACCACAACAGGUGGAGCCUGCGGUUUAAUUGGAUUCAACGCCGGACAUCUCACCGGAUAAGACAGCUGAAUGAUUGUCAAUCUGAAGGUUUUACAUGACUAGCUG